CCCAACCCGAAUAACCCAAAAACCGAAUAAACCGAACCGACCCGAACCGCCCGAAUGCCCAUGACUACUCCCUAUUACUCAAUUUUCCAUCUACAUUCAUAAUCUUGCAUAUCUUAACUCCGUAUAACAACCCCAACAAAAUAUGAAAAUCAGAGUAUGCUAUCCAUUCUUUUAAAAAUGGAAAUUGUAAUAUACUCAGAACAUUCAUUAU
rnacentral:lncRNA from 1 species